UACGAAGGGGGCUAGCGUUGCUCGGAAUCACUGGGCGUAAAGCGCACGUAGGCGGAUUGCUAAGUCAGGGGUGAAAUCCUGGAGCUCAACUCCAGAACUGCCUUUGAUACUGAAGAUCUUGAGUUCGGGAGAGGUGAGUGGAACUGCGAGUGUAGAGGUGAAAUUCGUAGAUAUUCGCAAGAACACCAGUGGCGAAGGCGGCUCACUGGCCCGAUACUGACGCUGAGGCACGAAAGCGUG
rnacentral:rRNA from 1 species